UACAGAGGAGCCAAGCGUUGUCCGGAAUUACUGGGCGUAAAGAGCUCGUAGGUGGUUUGUCGCGUUGUCCGUGAAAACUCACAGCUUAACUGUGGGCGUGCGGGCGAUACGGGCAGACUGGAGUACUGCAGGGGAGACUGGAAUUCCUGGUGUAGCGGUGGAAUGCGCAGAUAUCAGGAGGAACACCGGUGGCGAAGGCGGGUCUCGUGGGCAGUAACUGACGCUGAGGAGCGAAAGCGUGGGGGAGCGAACAGG
rnacentral:rRNA from 1 species